rnacentral:rRNA from 1 species
AGCGAACGCUGGCGGCAGGCCUAACACAUGCAAGUCGAACGAUCCUUCGGGAUAGUGGCGGACGGGUGAGUAACACGUGGGAACGUGCCUUUUGGUUCGGAAUAACUCAGGGAAACUUGAGCUAAUACCGGAUGUGCCCUUCGGGGGAAAGAUUUAUCGCCAUUAGAGCGGCCCGCGUCUGAUUAGCUAGUUGGUAGGGUAAAGGCCUACCAAGGCUACGAUCAGUAGCUGGUCUGAGAGGAUGAUCAGCCACACUGGGACUGAGACACGGCCCAGACUCCUACGGAAGGCAGCAGUGGGGAAUCUUGCGCAAUGGGCGAAAGCCUGACGCAGCCAUGCCGCGUGAAUGAUGAAGGUCUUAGGAUUGUAAAAUUCUUUCACCGGGGACGAUAAUGACGGUACCCGGAGAAGAAGCCCCGGCUAACUUCGUGCCAGCCGCCGCGGUAA